rnacentral:rRNA from 1 species
CCUUACGGCCACACCACCCUGAGCACGCCCGCUCUCGUCUGAUCUCGGAAGCCAAGCAGGGUCGGGCCUGGUUAGUACUUGGAUGGGAGACCGCCUGGGAAUACCAGGUGCUGUAAGCAU